AUACUUACCUGGCAGGGGAGAUACCAUGAUCACGAAGGUGGUUUUCCCAGGGCGAGGCUUAUCCAUUGCACUCUGGAUGUGCUGACCCCUGCGAUUUCCCCAAAUGUGGGAAACGAACCUGGAAACC
rnacentral:snRNA from 1 species